ACUUUGAAGUUUAUUGUGUGUUUUGGUGUUUUUACAUAUAUUUGAGUUCGUUUUAGAUUGAUUAACAUGCUUGACAGAAAGUUUUAGUGAAAUAUUUUUUAAAUAGAAAUAUAUUUUUCAAGUCACAGAUUAUAAGAGAUCCAUUUUUUCAUCAGCGUCAAUUGAUGUUCCAUAUUUGAAGGGUACUUUGUUGCAAGGAGAUUAAGGCACGAGAAACUCAUCUGUGGUAUCGGGUUAAAUUGUAAUUUUAAACAUUUAACAAGUAAAUAAAUUAUCAAUUUCAUACCAUUGACCAAUUAA